GACGAACGCUGGCGGCAUGCCUAAUACAUGCAAGUCGAGCGGAGUUGACGGGAAGCUUGCUUCUCUGAUACUUAGCGGCGGACGGGUGAGUAACACGUAGGCAACCUGCCUUUCAGUUUGGGAUAACUUCCGGAAACGGAUGCUAAUACCGAAUACAUCAUCUUCUGGCAUCAGAGAAUGAGGAAAGACGGCGCAAGCUGUCACUGAGAGAUGGGCCUGCGGCGCAUUAGCUAGUUGGUGGGGUAAUGGCUCACCAAGGCGACGAUGCGUAGCCGGCCGGGGGGGGUGAACGGCCACACGGGGACUGAGACACGGCCCAGACUCCUACGGGAGGCAGCAGUAGGGAAUCUUCCACAAUGGGCGAAAGCCUGAUGGAGCAAUGCCGCGUGAGUGAUGAAGGUUUUCGGAUCGUAAAGCUCUGUUGCCAGGGAAGAACGUCCGGGUGAGUAACUGCACCCGGAGUGACGGUACCUGAGAAGAAAGCCCCGGCUAACUACGUGCCAGCCGCCGCCGUAA
rnacentral:rRNA from 1 species